rnacentral:lncRNA from 1 species
CCACGAUCGACUUUACUCCAAACUUCUUCCGAACUUCAUCAAUGUCCGAGCUUCUCCAACAGCAGGACUUCUACAGUAACUAGACUCCAUUCAAGUUUUUACGAUGGUCGACCACCUUUCAGAUUUCAUCCGAACUCCUACAAGAAUCGGACUCCGUCCGAACUCCUACAACAUAUGGAUCUCAGACGAGCUUCUGCAACGGAUGGGCUCCACC